rnacentral:rRNA from 1 species
AACGGGAUUAGAUACCCCGGUAGUCCACGCCGUAAACGAUGCGUACUAGGUUGGGGAAGCUCGACGCUGUUCCCGGCUGAAGCAAAAGUAUUAAGUACGCCGCCUGGGGAGUACGGUCGCAAGGCUAAAACUCAAAGGAAUUGACGGGGGCUCACACAAGCGGUGGAGCAUGUGGCUUAAUUCGAAGCAACGCGAAGAACCUUAUCCUGGGCUUGACAUGUACGAAUUAGCUUCCUGAAAGGGAAGUGACGCCUUAGGGUGGAACGUACACAGGUGCUGCAUGGCUGUCGUCAGCUCGUGCUGUGAAGUGUCGGGUUAAGUCCCUUAACGAGCGCAACCCCUGUCGUUAGUUGCUAGCAGGUAAUGCUGAGGACUCUAACGAGACUGCCGGUGUUAAACCGGACGAAGGUGGGGAUGACGUCAAGUCCGCAUGGCCUUUAUGCCCAGGGCUGCACACGUGCUACAAUGGCAGGUACAGAACGAUGCAAUACCGCGAGGUGGAGCAAAUCGCGAAAACCUGCCCCAGUUCGGAUUGGAGGCUGCAAUUCGCCUCCAUGAAGUUGGAAUCGCUAGUAAUCGC